rnacentral:rRNA from 1 species
UACGAAGGGGGCUAGCGUUGCUCGGAAUCACUGGGCGUAAAGGGUGCGUAGGCGGGUUUUUAAGUCAGGGGUGAAAUCCUGGAGCUCAACUCCAGAACUGCCUUUGAUACUGAAAGUCUUGAGUUCGGGAGAGGUGAGUGGAACUGCGAGUGUAGAGGUGAAAUUCGUAGAUAUUCGCAAGAACACCAGUGGCGAAGGCGGCUCACUGGCCCGAUACUGACGCUGAGGCACGAAAGCGUGGGGAGCAAACAGG